rnacentral:misc_RNA from 1 species
CCCCAAUAUCAGCGCAUCCCGUUUCGCGGGGCGGGUGUUGGGGUUAGAGCCACCGAGUAGUGGCCGCAGGCUGGAGGAGAGCCGCCGAGUGGUGGUUCAGGAGGGAAAAUCUGCCAAGCUCAAAGGUCAGGCAAGCGAGAGGUUUACCGAGUCGGAAAGUCGGGCGAGUAAAAAGAUAUACCAAGUCCAAAAUACUGCCGGCAACAUACCCGGGACCCCGAGUAAGUCGGGGAAGAAGUUGGCGGAUGUUUUUCCAGCCAACUCAACUUUGACCAAUUUACCUGCCCGAGCUCACGGGUAGGCUGCGGUUAAUUUUUGGACUUUUGCGGAUUUACUUGAAUCAAUUCACAGGAAGUUACCUGCCAAAUUGCCUGGGCUCCCGGGUAGGCUAUAGUUGACUUUUGGACUUGGCGGAUUUUUUUAAACUUACUUCCCCGACUAUAACCUGGGAUUUUCCCGACCAUAGCUCACGGGUAGGUAAGUUGUGAUUUUUGGACUUGGUGAAAUUUCUACUUUCCUGCCAAGUCUAGCCUACCUGGGAGCCCAGGCAAGUCGGGCAGGUAAAUUCCGCCAACUCGGCAGGGAACUGAUUGCAAAUUAAUUUAACCAAAUCUGCCAAGUCCACAAGUUAACUAUAGCCUACCCGGGAGGCCUGGGUGUUUCCCGCGUGAUUUCCUGUAAAAACAAAAAAGUUAGGUGUUUUAGUACUUAAUUUAUAUAGGUAUAAGUUAAUUUUUUUGUUUUCUUAUAUAAAUAAAAUUUGCGGAAAAUAAAAAAUAAACCACGAGAGCCCGGUAGCGGAGGCAAGCCCUUAAGGUAGUCGGUAAGUAUAUAAGAGAGAGGGCUGGACACGCGUCGCGUCGCGUAUUUCCACCGCACCUAAUACUUUUGGCUUUAGGGUAGGCUGCUUGUUUAGAGGCGCGCUGAAUUAGAUGGUCUCUUAAGUGAGGGGAUUUCUCUGCUGGCAGUUGCCUGUAAUCCGGGAGUCCGUGGUGGUAAAGUCAGCUAUAAGGCUUGUGUGUGUGUGGGUGCGCGGGUGUGUGUGCCGGGGCCCUGUAAGUCCCGACCAGGAACCCUACAGGUCACGUGCCGACACAGUAAGACAGAUAAGAUAUACGGCACGUGUUAGUACACGUGCCAAUACAAGUGACGAUAAGAUCGAUAAGAUACCUGCACGUGCCCAGUCACGGAGACUUACACGUGUCCCGCUGCCAAGGUCCCCGAGGUCCCCGAGGUUGCCGACCUCGCCGACUACUCCUGGUGUAAUGUGCCGGUGCAGUUGCAUAUAAUUCCUUACUAGUCUCAAUAAUAGUACACUCGUUUAUCGCGAUGCACUCACUUGUGGUACGGCUGUGCGGCUGUGCUGACGUACUUGUGGUGGAGGGUUACCCGGGACCACGGUGCAUUUUUCCGUUUUUUCCAUUUUUUCAAAAUCGACGACCAAAAGGUUGGCAGGUCUGGGUUGCCUUGCUGGCCAAUAGAGAUUUGUACGGCGCUACUAUAGGGUAGGUACAGGGUAGGCUGUGCCGGUACUUGCGGUCGCACACAAAUCCCUAGCAGCCUGAAGUACCCCCGCGCGCGGGCAACUUCAAACCGCUAUAGCUGCUCCCAGCGGCAUCGCAGACAACUAUGAGGGCCACCAUUCGAUUCGUCUCGCCGAGCUGCAUCGAUUGAGCCCGGGCUGCCAAAAAGUCGGGUGUUUUGGUAUUUGAUUUGUAUGGGCGUGAGUCGAUUUUUUUGUUUUCCUAUACAAAUGAAUUUUGCGGAAAAUAAAAAAUGGACCACGAGCGCCCGGUGGCGGAGGUGGACCCUCGAGGUGGUCGGUGGGUAUGUGAGAAGGGGGCGUCGAAAGAUGCCGGGACAGCUGGGUCUUCGCUGAAAGGCAGGAUUUCCGGUGAGUCACCGCCCUCUCUGUACCAUAUCUUGCCGAGCCCCAGUGCUUGAGUGGCCUCCUGAACACGCCUGUAGAAGGUUUCUUUUACAGGCUGGGAGGUCACACUGGGGAUUCAAACUCCACGAAGUCGGCGGCUACGGCCGUGCGGCGUACUGGUUAUACCUCGUGGCAGUGGGAGGCACCCGCCUCUUACCGCUCAGGAGAUGGGUUCUGUGGGCUGCUGGCCGCUGGCCAACAUGCCGUAAAUCAGAAUAACGGGAGGCAACCACGGGUAGCUGACGCCGAAAUGGCAGAGGCUGCACGGAGCGUCCUCCUCUUAGGGCACCUAUACCGCACUCUACGGUGCGUGUGGACGGCUGCGCCUAGGGAAUUGAGAGGGGGAAAGCGGAUUUGCCGCUGGGCGGUCUCUCCCGGUCAAACGGGCAGGGCACCUCCCGGCGCGCAGCACCCUUUCGAGUGGGGGAAAGGUGUGCCGACCAGUAACUUGGACUAUUCUCUCCGGCGCCCUUAACAGGGCGUCGGUAGGCCAACCCCGGCGAACGAUAGU